UUAAUGCUGCCGUGAGAAUUAGCAAUGUUCCGUUUCCUGAUUUUUGAAGUUACAACCUGUGUUCGCUGGGGGGUCGGGGUGCAGGGUUUUAGGAGCAGGGGGUGUGGGCACUGUUCUGGCAAGCACCUGCCUUCACCGCCGUGCGAAGAGUGUCUCUGGAAAAUUUCUGAGUCCCGAGAUGGAAAUAGACUUGGGAAUGCCAGCGUCCUUCCUCGUCAGCACCGAACGAUUUCUCGAGCUCGGCUCUGGCUGUCUUGGCCUCCACGGUUAUCUGGAGGCCUUGGAGUGAGAGAAAGAACCGGUGCCUUUCAGAUCAUGUUUUAAAACCUUCCACGUCUGGCGUUGGGAACGCAGCCGCGGCUUGGUGGUGGAUAGCAAGAGGCAAAGGGACAUCCAGAUCUCCUGAGGGAUGAGCUACCAGAGCAUUCCAGCUGACAAGGGGCUCAGAAAAGAAACACAUCAAGAUUCCACCCCCAGGAUGGUUGCUUACUCAAUUAGCAAGUGUGAACGGCCGGUGCCGCCAGGUUCCCCGCACCAGGCCACUCCAGGCCAAGCCCAGCCGGUGCAGUGACCUCCUGAAUCGGCCUCCCUGCGGCAGUUCGGGCAUGCUGGGUUCCAUUCUCAACCGGCGGAGCAUUCGGUAUCCUGGGAAAAUGAAAUCAGAUCUCAUCGCUCUCACGCACAAAGUCCCCAACGGCUCCCAUCACACCCAAAAGAAAAUCCAAACUCCGUCUUGUGCCCCAGAAGGUUCUCCGGGCUCUUGCCACCCGUCCCCUCCCCAACGCCUCCGAUCUCACCUCCUGCCGCCUCCUCCUUCGCCUUCUCCCUUCCAGCCACAGGGGGCUCCGUGCAACUGUUCCUCAGGCACACCAAGCCCCUCCCCUCCUCGAGCCUUCGCCCCGGCUGUUCCCUCUGCGGGGAACUGCUUGUCCCAGAUCCGCAGGUGACUCGCUGCUCACUUCACUCAGGUCUCCUCACCGCCACCUCCUCUGAGUGGCCCUCCCAGAACCCCUCCCUAGCAUAGCUCCUUCCCCAGCCCGUCGUCAGUGCCUCUCGCCCUGCUUCCCUCCGCAGAAGGCCAGGAACAUCCCCGCGGGGGCUGCUUUCUUGGUUUGUUCCUUGUUUGUUUUCCUAACCGUGGAGCUUAUGGACUGCUCUACAAGCGCAGGGCUUUGUCUUGUUUACAGCUGUGGCCAGGCUUGAAUGUGCUUCUAUCUGAAUGUGUGUUUUGAGAGUAUUUGAUUAAAAAAAUGAGCAAAUGAA